rnacentral:rRNA from 1 species
UACGGAGGGUGCAAGCGUUAAUCGGAAUUACUGGGCGUAAAGCGCACGUAGGUGGUUUGUUAAGCCCGCUGUGAAAUCCCCGGGCUCAACCUGGGCACUGCAGUUGGAACUGGCAAGCUAGAGUAGGGUAGAGGGGUGUGGAAUUCCAGGUGUAGCGGUGAAAUGCGUAGAUAUCUGGAGGAACAUCAGUGGCGAAGGCGACACCCUGGACUCAUACUGACACUGAGGUGCGAAAGCGUGGGGAGCAAACAGG